UAAGGAAUAUUGGUCAAUGGACGCAAGUCUGAACCAGCCAUGCCGCGUGAAGGAUUAAGGCCCUCUGGGUUGUAAACUUCUUUUAUAGGGGAAGAAAUGUGACGGUUCUCCGUCACUUGACGGUACCCUGGGAAUAAGCACCGGCUAACUCCGUGCCAGCAGCCGCGGUAAUACGGAGGGUGCAAGCGUUAUCCGGAUUCACUGGGUUUAAAGGGUGCGUAGGUGGGCAGAUAAGUCAGUGGUGAAAUCUUCCGGCUUAACCGGGAAACGGCCGUUGAUACUAUUUGUCUUGAAUAUUGCGGAGGUAAGCGGAAUAUGUCAUGUAGCGGUGAAAUGCUUAGAUAUGACAUAGAACACCAAUUGCGAAGGCAGCUUACUACACAAUCAUUGACACUGAGGCACGAAAGCGUGGGUAGCGAACA
rnacentral:rRNA from 1 species